ACGGAAGGCAGCAGUGGGGAAUUUUGCGCAAUGGGCGAAAGCCUGACGCAGCAACGCCGCGUGCGGGACGAAGGCCUUCGGGUCGUAAACCGCUUUCAGGGGGGAAGAUACUGACGGUACCCCCAGAAGAAGCCCCGGCUAACUACGUGCCAGCAGCCGCGGUAAUACGUAGGGGGCGAGCGUUAUCCGGAUUCAUUGGGCGUAAAGCGCGCGUAGGCGGCUCGCUAAGCGGGACCUCUAAUCUUGGGGCUCAACCCCAAGCCGGGUCCCGAACUGGCGGGCUCGAGUGCGGUAGGGGCAGGCGGAAUUCCCGGUGUAGCGGUGAAAUGCGCAGAUAUCGGGAAGAACACCGAUGGCGAAGGCAGCCUGCUGGGCCGUCACUGACGCUGAGGCUCGAAAGUGCGGGUAGCAAACAGGAUUAGAUACCCUGGUA
rnacentral:rRNA from 1 species